GAUGAACGCUGGCGGCGUGCCUAAUACAUGCAAGUCGAGCGAACGGACGAGAAGCUUGCUUCUCUGAUGUUAGCGGCGGACGGGUGAGUAACACGUGGAUAACCUACCUAUAAGACUAGGAUAACUUCUGGAAACCGGAGCGAAGACCGGAUAAUAUUUUGAACCGCAUGGUUCAAAAGUGAAAGACAGGCUUGCUGUCACUGAUAGAUGGAUCCGCGCUGCAUUAGCUAGUUGGUAAGGUAAGGGCUUACCAAGGCAACGAGGCAUAGCCGACCUGAGAGGGUGAUCGGACACACUGGAACUGAGACACGGUCCAGACUCCUACGGGAGGCAGCAGUAGGGAAUCUUCCGCAAUGGGCGAAAGCCUGACGGCGCAACGCCGCGUGAGUGAUGAAGGUCUUCGGAUCGUAAAACUCUGUUAUUAGGGAAGAACAUAUGUGUAAGUAACUGUGCACAUCUUGACGGUACCUAAUCAGAAAGCCACGGCUAACUCCGUG
rnacentral:rRNA from 1 species